CCUACGGGAGGCAGCAGUGAGGAAUAUUGGUCAAUGGGCUUACGCCUGAACCAGCCAAGUCGCGUGAGGGAAGACUGCCCUAUGGGUUGUAAACCUCUUUUGUCAGGGAGCAAUUGGCGCUACGUGUAGCGUUAUCGAGAGUACCUGAAGAAAAAGCAUCGGCUAACUCCGUGCCAGCAGCCGCGGUAAUACGGAGGAUGCGAGCGUUAUCCGGAUUGAUUGGGUUGAAAGGGUGCGUAGGCGGAAUGCCAAGUCAGCGGUAAAAUCGCGGGGCUCAACCUCGCUCCGACGUUGAAACUGGCGUUCUUGAGUGGGCGAGAAGUAUGCGGAAUGCGUGGUGUAGCGGUGAAAUGCAUAGAUAUCACGCAGAACUCCGAUUGCGAAGGCAGCAUACCGGCGCCCAACUGACGCUGAAGCACGAAAGCGUGGGUAUCGAACAGGAUUAGAUACCCCUGUAGUC
rnacentral:rRNA from 1 species